AUGUUCUUUCAGGGAUCAUUGUCGUUUGAGGAUGUGGCUGUGGACUUCACGCGGGAGGAGUGGCAGCUGCUGGACUCUGCUCAGAAGACUCUGUACAGAAAUGUGACGUUGGAGAACUUGAGCAGCCUUGUGUCACUAGGGUUUCAACUUAUCAGACCAGAUGUGAUCUUUAGACUGGAGCAGGAGAAGCCACGGGUAAUCAGUGAAGACAUCCCCAGUCAGAGCUUUUCAGAAUACUGGAGAGUUGAUGAUUACAAAGCGUGGCACCAAGAAAUUCAAGACAGGAUUAAAAAAUUGGAACAAGUCCAUGAAACGAAUGUAAGUGGAAAAAUAUUUCAGUCUGGCAUGAACCUUGCACCUUUAAAGCAAAAGCCCAAUAAGCGUGUCUCAAAUGGAAAACAUUUGAAAUACUCAUUAGAUUUAUUUACUCAGACUGGAAACUGUGGAAGAAAGCAAGCUGGUAAGGGCAAUGGAUAUGAGAAAUCCUUUCUCCAUACUGAACAUGAAAAAACUCAUGUUGGAUUAAAAUACUAUGAAUGUAGUGAAUGUGGAAAAGUCAUCAGCAAGAAGUCACGACUCAUUGUCCAUCAGAGAACACACACAGGAGAGAAACCAUUCAAAUGCAGUGGAUGUGGCAAAGCCUUUUCCCAGAAGUCACACCUUGUUACACAUCAGACAGUUCACACGGGAGAAAAACUUUAUGGAUGUGAGUGUGGGAAGGCCUUCUCUAGAAAGUCACACCUCAUCACACAUCAGAGAACUCACACGGGAGAGAAACCGUAUGAAUGCAGCGACUGUGGGAAAGUGUUCUCUCAGACAUCACAGCUUAUCAUUCAUCAGCGAAGUCACACGGGAGAGAAACCCUAUGCCUGUGGUGAAUGUGGGAAAGCCUUCAGUGGGAAAUCACAACUUAUUACUCAUAAGAGAACCCAUAUAGAUGAAAAGCCCAACAAAUGCAGUGAAUGUGGCAAAGCCUUCAGAGAGAAGUCAAGUCUCAAUAAGCAUCAGAGAAUUCAUUCAGGAGAGAAACCCUAUGGAUGCAGUGAGUGUGGGAAAGCCUUCAGUGGGAAGUCAUUGCUCAUUAGACAUCAGAAAACUCAUUCAGGAGAAAAGCCCUAUGGAUGCAAUGAGUGUACAAAAGCAUUUAUUUGGAAGUCACAGCUCAUCAUACACCAGCGGACUCACACAGGAGAGAAGCCCUAUGGGUGUGGCGAAUGCGGGAAGGCCUUCUCCCAGAAGUCACACCUCAUCAUACAUCAGAGAACUCAUAGAACAGAAACCCUAGAAACAGAGUGAAUGUGAGAAACUUUGA